GGCCCGGUAGCUCAGCGGUAGAGCAGAAGCCUUUUAAGCUUUUGGUCCUGGGUUCGAAUCCCAGCCGGGUCA
rnacentral:tRNA from 1 species